CCUACGGGUGGCAGCAGUGAGGAAUAUUGGUCAAUGGGCUUACGCCUGAACCAGCCAAGUCGCGUGAGGGAAGACUGCCCUAUGGGUUGUAAACCUCUUUUGUCAGGGAGCAACGCUGGCUACGUGUAUCCGGCCUGAGAGUCUCUGAAGAAAAAGCAUCGGCUAAUUCCGUGCCAGCAGCCGCGGUAAUACGGAGGAUGCGAGCGUUAUCCGGAUUUAUUGGGUUUAAAGGGAGCGUAGGUGGAUUGUUAAGUCAGUUGUGAAUGUUUGCGGAUCAACCGUAAAAUUGCAGUUGAAACUGGCAGUCUUGAGUACAGUAGAGGUGGGCGGAAUGCAUGGUGUAGCGGUGAAAUGCUUAGAGAUCACGAAGAACUCCGAUUGCGAAGGCAGUUCACUGAACUGCAACUGACACUGAGGCUCGAAAGUGUGGGUAUCAAACAGGAUUAGAUACCCCAGUAGUC
rnacentral:rRNA from 1 species